GACGAACGCUGGCGGCGUGCUUAACACAUGCAAGUCGAACGGAAAGGCCCUGCUUUUGUGGGGUGCUCGAGUGGCGAACGGGUGAGUAACACGUGAGUAACCUGCCCUUGACUUUGGGAUAACUUCAGGAAACUGGGGCUAAUACCGGAUAGGAGCUCCUGCUGCAUGGUGGGGGUUGGAAAGUUUCGGCGGUUGGGGAUGGACUCGCGGCUUAUCAGCUUGUUGGUGGGGUAGUGGCUUACCAAGGCUUUGACGGGUAGCCGGCCUGAGAGGGUGACCGGCCACAUUGGGACUGAGAUACGGCCCAGACUCCUACGGGAGGCAGUAGUGGGGAAUAUUGCACAACGGGCGGAAGCCUGAUGCAGCAACGCCGCGUGCGGGAUGACGGCCUUCGGGUUGUAAACCGCUUUCGCCUGUGACGAAGCGUGAGUGACGGUAAUGGGUAAAGAAGCACCGGCUAACUACGUG
rnacentral:rRNA from 1 species